GGAUUUUCUUUCCCCUUUUUCAUAUUCGUUUUUUUUUGUACCUCUUCUUCAAUCUAUGUUGUUGACUGUCUCCAUGUUCAUUUAAGGAUUACUUCUUUAGCUUAGAAUUUGGGAUAGCAGGACCAGAAUCUGACCGUUUUUAUGGAUAAUCGUGGAAUUUGUUAAGAAGCUACUACUGUUUAAAAUUGUGGAAAAUGUAAGCACUGUUGCUUUGCAUUAUUUUGGCUUUGGUAGAAUUUGCAUGCAUUAUUUAAAUCCUGAAUGCAUCUGGCUUGGAAUGUUCGUGGUGUAAUGAAUAAAAAGUGUCAUUUUAGUAUUUCUGGAAAAUCUUUAGUCAAGGGAAUUGCACUGUAGUCUAAUCACUUCGAAUUACAUUAUAUUUCCAUUUAAAGAAAGCUAGCAAUGUUAUGUCAUAUAACUACUCUCUCUCUCUCUCUCUCUCUCUCUCUNNNNNNNNNNNNNNNNNNNNUUUCCUACUUUAAAGUAAAAGACUAGCAAUAGUUAUUGUCAUAUAACUACUCUCUCUCUCUCUCUCUCUCUCUCUCGUAUAGAGAUCUAUUUGAAGUAUUAUGCUCUAUGUACUUCUGUUUGCAG
rnacentral:lncRNA from 1 species